rnacentral:rRNA from 1 species
CUACCAUGGCGUUUACGGGUAACGGAGGAUUAGGGUUCGAUUCCGGAGAGGGAGCCUGAGAAACGGCUACCACAUCUAAGGAAGGCAGCAGGCGCGUAAAUUACCCAAUCCUGACUCAGGGAGGUAGUGACAAGAAAUAACGGACCGGGGCCUUACGGCUUCGGGAUUGCAAUGAGCCGAAUUUACACCCCUUAGCGAAGAUCGAUUGGAGGGCAAGUCUGGUGCCAGCAGCCGCGGUAAUUCCAGCUCCAAUAGCGUAUAUUAAAGUUGUUGCAGUUAAAAAGCUCGUAGUUGGAUUUCUGGGAGGGUGCCGCCGUCCGGCGUGUCCGUGUGCAGUGGCGCCCUUCCAUCCUUCUGUUAGCGUCUCUUGGCAUUCAUUUGCUGGUGGCGGGCUCAGAUAUUUUACCUUGAGAAAAUUAGAGUGUUUCAGGCAGGCUAGGCCGGAAUACAUUAGCAUGGAAUAAUGGAAUAGGACUACGGUCUCUUUGUUGGUUUGAGGGACUGCAGUAAUGAUUAAUAGGGAUAGUUGGGGGCAUUAGUAUUUAAUUGUCAGAGGUGGAAUUCUCAGAUUUGUUAAAGACUAACUUAUGCGAAAGCAUUUGCCAAGGAUGUUUUCAUUAAUCAA